rnacentral:rRNA from 1 species
GUAGAACUGCCAUUGAUACUGCAUCUCUUGAGUAUGGUUGAGGUAGGCGGAAUGUGUCGUGUAGCGGUGAAAUGCAUAGAUAUGACACAGAACGCCAAUUGCGAAGGCAGCUUACUAAACCAUUACUGACACUGAGGCACGAAAGCGUGGGGAGCGAACAGGAUUAGAUACCCUGGUAGUCCACGCCGUAAACGAUGUUCACUCGCUGUUUGCGAUACACAGCAAGCGGCUUAGCGAAAGCAUUAAGUGAACCACCUGGGGAGUACGAUCGCAAGGUUGAAACUCAAAGGAAUUGACGGGGGUCCGCACAAGCGGAGGAACAUGUGGUUUAAUUCGAUGAUACGCGAGGAACCUUACCUGGGCUUAAAUGUAGAUUGCAUAACUUAGAAAUAGGUUUUCCCUUCGGGGCUAUUUACAAGGUGCUGCAUGGUUGUCGUCAGCUCGUGCCGUGAGGUGUCGGGUUAAGUCCCAUAACGAGCGCAACCCCUAUCGUUAGUUGCCAGCGGAUAAUGCCGGGGACUCUAGCGAGACUGCCACCGUAAGGUGAGAGGAAGGUGGGGAUGACGUCAAAUCAGCACGGCCCUUAUGUCCAGGGCUACACACGUGUUACAAUGGCCGAUACAAAGGGCAGCUACCAGGCAACUGGAUGCUAAUCUCUAAAGUCGGUCCCAGUUCGGAUUGGAGUCUGCAACCCGACUCCAUGAAGUUGGAUUCGCUAGUAAUCGGAUAUCAGCAAUGAUCCGGUGAAUACGUUCCCGGGCCUUGUACACACCGCCCGUCAAACCAUGGAAGCUGGGGGUACCUGAAGUCUGUGACCGCAAGGAGCGGCCUAGGGUAAAACUAGUAACUAGGGUUAAGUCGUAACAAGGUAGCC